AAGCCCCAAAAGAAAUCAACCAACAACAAACGCUACACUGAUGAAGAACAGCAGAACCCACCUUUAGCCAAAAUGGCAGGCGAUGUUCUUCUCUCUCCACAGGCGGCUUCCACUCAUUAGGCUGGAUUUCCUCGCAGCACUUGAACAGAACGGGCAACUGUUUUGUCUUUUUAUAGUACUAUGUGGAGACAGGACAGAAUGCAAGACAAGAUGACUGUGGUCAGAUCACCUGACUAAUAACUGCUGGGAUGUAGGAUAAGAACUGUGCUCUGUGACAGUGUUUGUGUGAAUAAAGUCAUUCUCAUCACUACUACUGUAAUAAGGUACUACCCUCAGAAACAUUAAAAAAAGAAUAAUAAAGGCUGAACAGGAGCUCACUGCCACCUCGGUUUCUCUCAGUAGAAAUCACGACAUUCUAGCAGACAUGCAGGCACACUUGCUUUAAAUAUUUCUGGUUCUUCUUCUCUCCUCAGCAGUGGCCACUGGCUCAUGGGACAGGGUAUUUGGCCAGCUGGACCUUCAGCCUGACUGGAGACAGCACUUUUGUUUUAGCCUCAAGACUCAAAGUUUAUUUGUACGAAUUUGUUCCUGAAGCCACAGUUGCACGUGCUGGGCUUUAAAGAGUCAAAAUAGCAAUAUAAGUACUUACAAAGUACAGAGGGGAUAAGGUCUUUUUUUGACGAAAUCCUCGUUGCUAAUACAAGGAUGACAUUUUCUUUUAAGAAAGUGUCGGUGUGGCAGUGUGCUCUCCCCUUCUUCCCUCCCCCGCCGCUCCUGCUCAAGCCAUAACCAUCAGCGGGAGGUGUGAUGAGUUGCACCUGGACUUUGGGGGAUGGCUGGCAACAGUCAAAACACUGUCUGGAGUGGGGACCCAGACAUUUCAUUCCCAUGGGAAUAUGACCGCAGGUCAAUUCUCCUACUCUGUGAAUAGCGGACAGCCCAGGAGCCCCCGGAGCUCUCCUGCACGGCAGCGGCUGCACGCCAGGAUCUCCCCGUGAGUUGGGACGCUCGCUUAAGGUUCUGCUCCUCGAGGCUGAGACAUUCCUUGCCCCAACAGAUUCUCGCGUGAAAUCCCUCCCACUGUCAAUGCUCUCCCACCUCUCGUCCCUUCAAAUGCGUACCGCUCUUCUUCACGGCUUUGCGCGGGCUCCAGUCAACUUGGACUUGGGCAUGAAAAUCUUCGAUGAGCUGCAGCGCUCCCUUCAAGUUACACGGCUGGAACAUCGUUUGAAACUUCGGAUUGAACGACUGACGAAGGAGUGUAGAGCUUCGAGCAAAGUUACCGAGCUCGCUC